rnacentral:misc_RNA from 1 species
AACGCACAUUGCGCCCCUUGGUAUUCCGGGGGGCAUGCCUCUUCCAGCGUCAUUUCACCCCUCAAGCUCUGCUUGGUUUUGGGCCGCGCCAGCAACGGCGGGCCUCGAAAAUAGUGGCGACGCCAUCGUGCUCUCAGCGUAGUAAUUCUUCUCGCUGUUGGGUCCCGGUGGUUGGUCCGCCAGCAACCCUCAACUUUCUUAAGUUUGACCUGGGAUGAGGUAGGGAUACCCGCUGAACUUAA